rnacentral:rRNA from 1 species
UACGGAGGGUGCAAGCGUUAAUCGGAAUUAUUGGGCGUAAAGGGCGCGUAGGCGGAAGAGUAUGUCAAAUGUGAAAACCCAAGGCUCAACCUUGGACGUGCAUUUGAAACUGCUUUUCUGGAGGGUAGGCGGAGAAAACGGAAUUCCACGUGUAGCGGUGAAAUGCGUAGAUAUGUGGAAGAACACCAGUGGCGAAGGCGGUUUUCUAGCUUAUAACCUGACGCUGAGGCGCGAAAGCAAGGGGAGCAAACAGG